AUAUAUAUAUAUAUACGUAUAUAUAUAUACACAUACAUACAUAUACAUAUAUACACAUAUAUAUGUGCAUAUAUAUAUAUAUACACACAUAUAUAUACAUACACAUAUAUA
ensembl:miRNA Gm22709 predicted gene, 22709